GGGUCCGCGUUUCAUUAGCUAGUUGGUAGGGUAAUGGCCUACCAAGGCAACGAUGAGUAGCUGGUCUGAGAGGAUGAUCAGCCACACUGGAACUGAAACACGGUCCAGACUCCUACGGGAGGCAGCAGUGGGGAAUAUUGCGCAAUGGGCGAAAGCCUGACGCAGCAACGCCGUGUGAGGGAUGAAGGCUUUCGGGUCGUAAAUCUCUGUCGGAAGGGAAGAACGGGCAAUGGUCUAAUAGGCCGUUGUUUUGACGGUACCUUUAGAGGAAGCACCGGCUAACUCCGUGCCAGCAGCCGCGGUAAUACGGAGGGUGCAAGCGUUAUUCGGAAUUACUGGGCGUAAAGCGCACGUAGGCGGCCUUGUAAGUCAGGGGUGAAAUCCCACGGCUCAACCGUGGAACUGCCUUUGAAACUGCAGGGCUUGAAUCCUGGAGAGGGUGGCGGAAUUCCUGGUGUAGGAGUGAAAUCCGUAGAUAUCAGGAGGAACACCGGUGGCGAAGGCGGCCACCUGGACAGGUAUUGACGCUGAGGUGCGAAAGUGUGGGGAGCAAACAGGAUUAGAUACCCUGGUAGUCCACACCGUAAACGAUGAACACUAGGUGUCGGAC
rnacentral:rRNA from 1 species